CUGCAACCCAGAAGAGAGAAGUAGCCAGUGAAGGCCCUUCUCAGCAAUUCAUUGACAUGUGGGGUGGGGGUAGAAGGAGCAAUAAGGUCACCAACAGUUUUGCUGUCUUUUUUUUUUUUUUCUGGAGAAAAGAAUUGAUGUUGAAAAAUAAAAAGAAGCUCAUAAGAGAAAAUGCUGGUGGAUUUUCUGAUGUGUCUGGAGCCUCUCAGAAAGCAAUAAAAUUUCUGAAUGGGGCAAUGUGGAGAAAUCCUAAGAGAAAUAGCAUAAGAGCAUUUUGGAAUAUAUCCCGGAAAAGAUAACUUUCUACACAUCUGGUAGAGAUUCGCCAGGAAAAGCAAUGGAAAUUCUCCAGUUCAAAUCCAAUGGAUAUUAAGGAAGGAACUACAGUUGCUGACUUGAGUUGAAGAAGCAUCUGCUUAAUGUCCGGUCAAAGCUUACAAGCAGUAAUACAGAAACCUAUGGUUAAAAAGCCGGCACUUCAGUCUCCUGCAAAGGGUGAAACACAGGACGAGAAGAAUCUGCAGGGAGAAUGAAUUUCAGGAUUUCUCAUUGAAGUGGACAAAGACAUUUAGUCACUCCGACGGAGC
rnacentral:lncRNA from 1 species